rnacentral:tRNA from 1 species
GCCUAGGUGGCUCAGUCGGUUGAGCAUCCGACUUCGGCUCAGGUCAUGAUCUCCCAGUCUGUGGGUUCGAGCCCCGCGUCAGGCU